CCAUGUCCGCACCCGGGAUCGGAACUGGUGAACCUUGGGCCACUGAAGCGGACAGUGUGAACUUAACCACUGCGGCACCAGGCAGCCCCCAAGCAUCAAUUAUUUUGAAUCUCAAUUUCCAGCAAAAGUUGUGGGUGUUUUUUUCCUACUCAUGAAGAAAUCCUAGAAAAAUAAAAAGAUGUGAAAAGUUGGAGUAGCCACGUUCUUUUCCAGGCAUAGAACUAUGUAAUCCAAACUUCUCAGCUGGAAUUCUGGGAUGGUAAGCCACCCCUACACUCCUGACACGAUGCACAUGCUGUUUUCCUGGGAGGAUGGUUUCGUGCCAAUCUGCUUAGGAGCGCCAUGCCAACUGAAUGCAGGCCUCGCAGGAGAGCAGGUGCACUGGGAGAGUUGGCGCUAAGAUUGCUCCCUGCUAUAGUCCGUGAGUCAGAGCACAGGCUGAUUACAAGAGAUCAUAUUUGUCGAAACUGUAGGUAAAGAACAACCGGCAAACGUCCAGACCAUGAGCCCCAUUUCCCAAUUCAUCUCCCUUCUGGGAAUCAGUAAACUGAGUAUACAGACCUGGCUGACUAGGAGAUGUCUAAGACUUCCCUGUUUGCAUAUAUCCUUUUUGAGAAAAAACAACUGGUUUUUUUUCUUCCCUGUUUGCAACGUAGGGAAACCGUUUCCCCCAGCUCUGUAUCAGAUCUCCUUACUUUGCAAUUGAAUCUAAGUGUAUUAUCAGCUUACCUGAGGUGUCAUAAAGGUAAAGAGAAACAAGUAGGUGCCUGAAUAAGUCUUAGCCCUUCCUUUGUUUUUUCUCUCCUUGUAUCUCCUUUUCCUCCCCGUCCUUUCCUUUCAUUGCUGUUGAGGUCGUUUUAUGGAAAUCUGAGAACCUCUGGCCUCAGUCAAAUGCAUGUGUUCUCUCAUAACAGGGGUGGCUUCAGCCACACAGACCUGCAGGUAGAAUGGUUAUCAACACUGUGAAGGUGGCACAGCCACUUUUGUGGCCACAUAAAUACGCACAUGCUAGUGCAUGUUCUUCCAUAGCUCUUCAGAGCAUGUUGUGUGCUACAGUGCAAGCGUUCCUUACUUUUUGUUUAAAUCGAGGACUCCUUUAAUUAUCUGCUUCUGACUCCCCAUGAAUAUCACUAAUUGAAAAAUACCUCAUUACAUUUAUUAAUCACAGUGUGGCUUAACUGAUGACAAAUGUGGGGUUUCUUAGGCUUUUCAGAAUGUAGGAAAUAAUCGUAGGGAUCCAUUGCUCCCUUUGGGAGCUCUUAAGAGCAAUGAGGACCCCAAUUUGGGGCCAUUAUUAUACACGAUGGUGUACUGGACAAGAAACUCAGAGAUUCGGCCUCUGGUAGAGCCACCGCUGGGAGCCUGUUUCCGGAGCCUUUAUUUCCUCAUCUCUAAAGGGAAGAACACAAGCAAUUGCAGUUCAAGGCUCCUUCUGGGCCCAUAGUUUGCUCUUCUGGAGCUGAGCCCUGGUGGACCCGUGGGCAGAUAGCUAUCUUUCUAUCUCGGGGCCUUCACUAGCUCCCUGUCCUCUCAGCACUUGUUACGAUGUGAAGGGUGUAGUUCUUUCCCCAUCCUAUGUGUGCAGACCAGAAGAAGAGCCCUAGAAAAUCCUGAAGGAGAGCCCAGAGGAACCUAGGGCUAGAAAUCAAAUCUUCUGCUUGGGAAGGGCUAAUGACCACAACUCACAUUUCUGCCUACUAGAGCUCUUAAUGAUUAAAUGGCUUUUAAAAUGGCUACAUCAAAGACAAACAAAUCAAUGUGUGGGGCUGUGUUGGGGGUCUAGGAUACCUGUUGUCACUACUUAAGUAUUUCUUCAACCAUGGUAUUGAGUCCAAGAGUCUACUUAAUUAUUAUUAAACUAGAAACAUGUUACAUUCCGAAGAUAUUUUGGAAACAAUAGAUUUUGAUAUUUACUGGUGGCUUCCAUCAUUUCAACAAACUUGUAUUUAGGAAGCAGCUGGUGUCUGCAAGUCUAAACUAUAAAACUGGUGUUUAGAGAUGAAGCUGAUAAUUCUCCCACUUGUUUACAAGAUUGCUCUGAGGGGCAAGAUUUCACCUGAGCACGUCUCAUGCCAGAAGCCAGAGAAACACACAAACUUGACAUGUAUACCAUCUAGCUAACGGAGGGUGUCAUUUUUGUCUGGGGUAGAAACAAACAGCUAUUGAGUCGAUAUGUAUGUGGAGAAAACCUGAUUGUAGAUGGUAAAUUUGUGUGUACUUUAAGAAUAACAUUGACUAUACAUAUCACGAUAAAAAUAAACCAAUUUAAAUCUAGUGGAAAAACAUGUUCUGAAGGGGAUAGUAAAUUCUUAAUCAAUUGGAUCACUUCUACCGGAAUCAACAGAAUGAACCUAAUAGCUCUUUUUCAAAACUCCAAAUUCUGUGAUUCUGUGUAGACCGAAUUAAGAAAACGUUAAGUUGGAUAUGGAUGAGUGGCGUAAUCUUUGUUAGGAAUGAAUCCAUUUUGGCCUUAAGAUACAACGUUUCCUGUUCAAUUCAUGUCUUGAAAAAGAAGUUCUAAUUCUAACUACCUAAAAUGAAAUAAUAAGGACAGUUUGCUGCUAUCACAGAUGUAUCUAGUAUUGAAAGAAAGAUUUGCAUGAACAGCAACGCAUCUCUCAUCCCAUCCUGGCUGGUCGUGAACUAGCUGGGCGACAGUCUGGUGACCCUUAGCCUUUGGUGGUGUGAGGUCAGGUGGAGAGGGAACCUGGAGCUUUGCUCCAGGCUGCCCUCCGCAGUCAAGAUCAGAAGCCCUUUUGGCAUAAUCGCCUCAACACAGUACUUAAGGUUAGAGACACACAACCUGGGCUCAAAUCCUGAGCAUCUCUGUAUAAUUUUAACCAGUUACUCCAUCUCUCUGAAUCUCAGUUCCUUUAUUUGUAAGUAGAUGAUAAAAAUUGCCUUUCUGUGGGGAUUAAAUGCGAGGAUAUGUGUCAAGUGCCUGACGCAUAGUGAGUGUUUGAGAACCAUGCUACUGUUAUUAUUAUCAUCUAUUUGUUUUACUUGCUUAUCUUGAGCCUAAAUGAAAAAUUAUUUGAGCACUUUAUAUAAAAGUCCUUGCAUGAACUCAAAUUAUCACUGGUGAUAGAAUUAUUUUUCUUUCUCAGAUUAAAACUUUUUCAAAACACCAAUGAGGAGAGAGACAAUCUAUAAAGGCUCGAAAUCGUAAGUUUUUAUUUUUGGCAUGUUUUGAGCCCGCUUAUUUUUUCUGUUUUUUAUACAUUAUGACCAUCAAGGAAUUGGAAAAAGGAUUAGACAGGCUAAAAAUAAUAUAGGUUUGAUAAAUUCACUCAGCUUGAGAAUGACUUUCUGAGGCAACUGGCCUUUCCAAAAUAAAUUUGCAAACUGUAUCCUUAUAAAAAAUUAGACUUUGGCGAGGCAAAAGAAUUUGGGCCAUAUCAGCUUGUCAUUCCAAAUUUUAAAAUAUUUAGUCUUACUUCAAGAUAAAUAGCAACAAUUGAACUUAAGCAGCUAAGAAAAAUAAACAUACAACUUCUUGAAAUUGUACAAAUAACUAGAUGGUUUAAAAAAUUGUUAUCAGAAACGUCUUCACUACUAACGAGGUCUAAAUUAAAGCGUGGCCAUAGACGAUGUUUGUUUCUUGCAUUAUGGCCAGCCUGACAGGGGCUGUCCAGUCUGGGGGUAUGUGAGGUUUAGCAUUCGCAGGCACUAGGGAGUCAUGGAUGGAGGGAUCCCAGCUGUCUGCCAACCAGAACCUGGCAGGUCUUUGGCAAGGUGGUCAAGAGCUUGUACUUUGAGACAAUCCAGAAGGCUUGGGGAGAUGAUAAGAUUAGAACUGAGCCUUAAAGAACAGUUGGAUGAGAUUAUACUAUCCCAUCCAGCUGCAGUGAUUUUCCUUCCUUCUUCCUCGCCACCUUCCCCACAGCGCCACUUUCCACGUGCUUAGAGGCAUGAAGUUAGGAAACCACGGACAAUCGUGGGAGAUGGGUGAUCAAAGAAGUCAGUUCCACUGCUGAAAACAUUGACACGAGACUGUGCAGGUCAACACCAGUGUUGAGGGACAACCUGGGACUGAUAAUGAUUUCAGGAGGUGGCUUUGUCUUCCUCAGGUUACCUGAUCAAGCCUACAGCUCUGGAGUGAGCCUGGAGUUCAAAUCUCUGCAUUGUCACCUGUUACGGUGGCCCUGGGGCCAUGGACGUCCUGUUCUUUGACAGGCAUGUCUCACAUUUGUAAAACAAACAUAUAAAAAUUAGAUUGUUGUGAGGCUAGAUGACUUAUCAUUAUAAUAAUUAUCAUUAUUAUUUUUCAGUCUGCAGUAUGCCAAGUGCAUUGCCCUGAUAGGAGGUUUGAUUUGUGUACUAGCAUUGACUUUGCAUCUAGUUUCUCAGUGAACUUAGCUAAAAUCACAGGUGCCACAGACCUAUGUCCUAUGAUACCCUAUUAAAUCUAGGGCAUUUUUUUCAAGUCAGGAAUAUUUAAAAAAACAAUCUGAAGAACCUCUAUUACCAGAGUUUAAUUGGGUAAUCUCUUCAAAGACUAUCUGGGGUUGUCUUGUCUACAGGAAAUGAGCUUAAGAGAAUGCUUUUAAAGAUAUUUUUAUUUUCAGUUUGAUAUAACCUUCCAGUCUCCAACUUUUUCCAUGCUAAGAUUUAUUCUCUAUAAAAGCAUUAAUAAGUAUGCAAUUAAACCACAGUGUGACAAUUUAAAUGAUUGCUAUGAAAGGAUGUUUGUGAUAACAUUUCUUCUAAAUCCAGAUUUCUAAUAAUUUCCUGUUGUCUUAAAACUCAUAAUGUUUUUGAGUUAUAAUAAUAAAACUGGAAUUUUGGUUCUCACCACAAGUAAUGAUAUCUCAAGCAGGACUCAUAGUAUGCAAAACAAAAAUUUUGAAAACAGGCUGAGUUAUAGUCAAGUGGCAAAAAUCAUCGACAAAUAAAAAUCUCACUCACUUGGCUGUUUUGACUUAUAUUUUCUCCUACUGAUAACAAAAAUAUGAAAAAAUUACUGGAUGUUUCUGGUAUCAUACACACAGUCAGUCAUUUUAAGAGAAGACCUACUUGUCUUAAAUCUACUCAUAUCCAGAUUCAGCAAAUAGAACUUAAUCCAAAAGAAGAAAAGCAAGAUAAUACUCUAUGGCCUUUUUUCCUUUUUAACGUCUAAGGUUAUUGUUGUAGUAAUUGUUGUGGUUCUUUUCAUUGACAAACAUGAAAUCUUUCUCAUAGCUGCUCCAGUUCUCUGAUUUAGAAGCUGAACCCUUGGCACAGAUUGGGUGGAUCACGUUCCUCAUUCCCUGGAUCACAGUGGUUGGUACGAAGGUGGGCAUGUGGCCCAAGAUGGGCCUAUCAGAAUUCUCCCCUGGGAUUUGUUCUACUACAAGCAGCAGGGAAUAUAAUUCUUCCUUCCCAGGUUGAUAAAGAUGUGACUCCAUGACUCAGGAUGUGCAGUAAAGGAUUAACUUUGCCCAAAGAAAGGUUUGGUCCUUUGCCCCCAGCCCCAGGGAGAUAAUCGGUAAAUCCUUGGAAUGUCCUGCCCAAUAAGAAUGUCUAUGUCUUUGUUUACCUAGGGCUCUUGAGCCAGGUCAGAUAGUCUAUGCUAACGACAUAAUUUUUGGUGGAAGGCCUUGGGCCAUGUGGUACCAGCUCUAGAGGGGCUGGAGAAUAAGGCUAUUCAUGUGGGUGAUCAGCCUGUCUACAUAGCCAACUCAUAAUAAAAACUCUGGACAACGAAUCUUGGGUGAGCGUCCCUGGUUGGCAGUAUUCUGUGCAUGUUGCCACACAUUGUCACUGAGAGUAAUCCGUGCUGUCCGCAGGAUUCCACUGGAAAGGACAACUGGAAGCUACAUGCCUUGUAUGUCUUGGACCCUGCCCUACGUGCCUCUUCCUUUUGCUGAAUUUAAUCCAUUUCUUUUAUCUGUGAUAAACUCUAACUGAGGAAGUUGAGUCUAAAGAGAGAUCACAGAGUGAACUGAAGAGCAGGAGCUGUUCUCUCCCUGUGCUGGCACACUAUCACGAAUAGAGCUGCCAUGAACUUUCCUCUACAAGUCUUUGUGUGCAAUGUUUUCCUUUCUCUUGGGUAAACAUCUGGGAGUGGAAUUGCAGGGUCACAUGGUAAGUACUUAACUUUAUAGAAAACCACCAUCUCUUUUCCAAAGUGUUAUUACAGUUUUACACACCAGUUCCAGUUGUUCCACAUUCUUGCAAACACUUGCUAUUGUCAGUCUUCUAAAAUUUUAACUAUUCUAGUAUGUGAGUAGUGGUAUCUCACUGUCAUUUUAAUUUGCAUUUGCUGGAUGACAACUGAUGUUGAAUGUCUUUUCAUGUGCUUAUUAUCCUUGUGCUUUUCUGAAGUAUUUGUUCAAAUCAUUGUCCAUUUUUAAAUUGGGUUGUCUUUUCGUUGUCAUAAGAGUUUUUUAAAUAGAAAUUUUGGAUAUAUGUUCUUUAUUAUAUAUAUGCAUGGCAAAUAUUUUCUCCAAGUAUCUAACAGCACAAAUCCUUAUCAUCAUUUAAAAAAAUUUCUCAGUUAUUUUCAACUGUUUAUUCCUUCAUAUGUACAUUGUAAUAAUUUUUUUAAGUUUAGAAAAAAUUUACUUUGAAAUUUUAAUUAGAAAUUCUUAAAUUUACCAAUAAAUUUGAGAGAAACUAGACAGAUUUGCAGUACUGUCUUCCUUUCCAGUCAUAUGAUAUGACUUUCCAUUUAUUAAACUUCUAUAUUUUAGACACAGUUUUAUGUUUUUUAAUGUAGUCAUGAAUAUUUUUUAAUGGUUAAAUAUUUAUUUUAAUAUUUAUUAUAAUGCAACAGCUUGCCCCACUGUAUGGUAUAAGUGUAUUUACACACUAUUGUCUAACUAUUAUGUAGGAAAGUUGUUCAUUUUUGAAUAUUUAUUGCAUUAUCUAGGACAGAUUAAGUUAUCUUUCAGUAACUGCUCCCAAAUCUUAGUUCACUGGAAUAAACAUCUAUUUUUCAUCAUGCGAAGACCUCUGCAGGUCUGGGCAAUUCUCCAGGGAAGUUACUCUUCAUGUGUUGACUCAGUGACCCAGAUUGAAUUUACCUUGAGGGACCUUUAUAUCAAAAAAUGCUUUCACAAUUGCCUUCACAGGGCAGGGAGGAUUGGAGAAUGGAGCAUUGGCAAGUAAAUGCUUUGGCCUAAAAUGGACAUGGGUCACUUCUGUUCACAUUUCAUUAGCCAGCACUAGUCACGUGACCACAGCUACCUUUAAGGGAGAUGGGAAGCCAGGCACUCAGAAGCAGAGGAAAAUGGGAAUAUACAGUCCCCCCUCAUCUGCAGGGGACAGAUUCCAAGACCCCCAGUGGAUGACUAAAACCACAGAUAGUACUGAACUCUAUGUUUUUUCCUAUAUAUACAUACCUAUGAUAAAGUUCAAUUUAUAAAUUAGGCCUAGUAAGAGAUUAACAACUGUAACUAAUAAUAAGAUAGAACAAUUUAAGAAUACGCUAUAGUAAAAGUUACCAUAGAUCUUAGUGAUCUCAGCAUAUGAUUUUUUUUCUUUCUUUAUGAUAUCAAGAACUUUUACCUUUUCACUUAAAAGAAGCACUUUACAGUUUCUCUUCUGCAUAUCUGAAUCGCCAGCAUCACUACUCUUGUGCUUUGAGGCCAUUAUUAAGUAAAAUAAGGUUUACUUGAACACAAGCACUACGAUAGAUACCUUGACAGUGGAUCUGAUGACCAAGAUGGCCAGGAAGUGACUAAAGGGUGGGUAGCAGACACAGGGUGGAUAUACUGGACAAAGGGAUGACUCACCUCUCAGGUGGGACGGAGAGGGAUGACACGAGAUUUCAUCAUGUUACUCAGAAUGGCAUGCAAUUAAAACUUACAAAUUGUUUAUUUCUUGAAUUUUCCAUUUAAUAUUUUUGGACUGCGGUUGGCUGCAGGUAGCUGAAACUGCAAAAAGUGAAACCACAGAUAAGGGAGGACUACUGUAUUUAUGAACAUUGAUUAUGUAUGCCACAGUUAUUUUGUUGAUGCAAUUCUAUUAUUAGGUAUAGGAAUAAUCGUUUGAUUUUUUUUCAGGUUCUUGGUGGUUGUUCACAUUGUCUUUAAAUAAUUUUAUUGCUUCCUUUUAAAAUAAUGUGGAAUUGGUGAAAACUUUCAAAAAGAUUUAAAUUAAUAGUAGUGACAUGGGGACAUUCUAAUCUUUUACUUGAACUUAAAGGCUACAGCUCAAAUGUACCAAUAAAUGUGAGUUUUGCUAUCAUUUGACAGAAAACCAGAAAGGGAAAGAAGCUUCAAAAUAUAAUAAAAAUAACUUGCAUUAAAAAAAAAAAGAGGGCU